AGUGCUACAGUCCAACGAUCGAAGGCUGUGUACAUCCAAAACAAAUGGACUGACACGUGGACAGUCUGUGCAUUUAUAUAAUGCUGGGGGGAAGGGAGGAGGGCUUCUAAGAUCCCAGGCCACAUGUUCUGCAGAGCAUGAUCCAUGGGAAACUUCCACAGCUGUUCUUGAGGCAGAGGGAUGGGGAGGAGAGGGCAUCUUUUCCCAUGGGAUUGCUUCCUUUAGCAACUGCAGCCGAAAUUCAGUAUUCAGCUUCUACAUGAGUCAGGAGGUCAAUGAGUCAAUCCUAAUCAAAAGUAAAAGCAAGAUUUCCAUUAGAGGGAGGUUAACAAGUAAACAGGACACACAGGGAAAGGUGGUUUGGUGUUGCAGCUGUAAUAGCUGAAUAGAAGAGGAAAUGUUGGGGGAAUAGGGGCUUGUUGCAGGGAGAGUUUGUUUUUCCUACAGUACUUAACCUUUCUGUCGUGGUGACAGCAUUCUGACAAAACCCAUGCAACCCUGGAGUUGACGUAAAUUGUGGAGUCUGAUUCUCAUUAAUGCUCCAUCAAUAAUAUCCUCAUCCAAACAGGCAUUUGCUCGUGUUCCCUUAUGACACUGCGUGUUUAUGCCCUAGUGAAAGAUGGUGACGUUGGCUGUUUGUUCCCUUGGUGUGAAUAGCAGCUGUCAGUCUGACCACUGCUCUGUGGUUUCUCUGCAUCUCUGAACCAUGAAAUCAAGUUUCCCCACACCCCCAAAGAUAAUUAAAAUGCCUCUUCUUUUCCCCCACCUCUUUUGAUGUGAGUUUAAUUAUUUGACCUCUGCUCUCCUGCCGCUUUGUGUUACUUUGCUCUGUGGUUGUGUCUUUAUAUUCAAGCAGCAAACAAGUCUCUGGACUGUUUUGCUGUGUCAUGUGACCAGGAGUCAAGAUUAGAAAGGUAUCUCUGUGCUCUAAGGCUUGCAACUUCUAUUUUU